rnacentral:rRNA from 1 species
CUCAGAACGAACGCUGGCGGCGCGUCUUAAACAUGCAAGUCGAACGAUCUGUAGCAAUACAGGGAGUGGCGGACGGGUGAGGAACACGUAGGAAUCUACCUUGAAGAGCGGGACAACUUUGGGAAACCGGGGCUAAUACCGCAUAGUACAGAGAUGUUAAAGGGCUAGCAAUAGUCGCUUCGAGAUGAGCCUGCGGUCUAUCAGCUUGUUGGUGAGGUAAUGGCUCACCAAGGCUACGACGGAUAGCCGGUCUGAGAGGAUGAUCGGCCACACUGGCACUGAGACACGGGCCAGACUCCUACGGGAGGCAGCAGUUAAGAAUCUUGCGCAAUGGGGGAAACCCUGACGCAGCGACGCCGCGUGAAGGAUGAAGGCUUUCGGGUUGUAAACUUCGGUAGACUGGGAAGAAGAAAUACGUUCGUUGAGGGCGUAUAGUGACGGUACCAGUCUGAAGCCCCGGCUAAUUACGUG